AGCGGCGAACGGGUGAGUAACACGUAGGUGAUCUGCCCAUCAGACGGGGACAACGAUUGGAAACGAUCGCUAAUACCGGAUAGGACGAAAGUUUAAAGGUGCUUCUGGCACCGCUGAUGGAUGAGCCUGCGGCGCAUUAGCUAGUUGGUAGGGUAAAGGCCUACCAAGGCGACGAUGCGUAGCCGACCUGAGAGGGUGAACGGCCACACUGGGACUGAGACACGGCCCAGACUCCUACGGGAGGCAGCAGUAGGGAAUCUUCGGCAAUGGGCGAAAGCCUGACCGAGCAACGCCGCGUGAAUGAUGAAGGCCUUCGGGUUGUAAAAUUCUGUUAUAAGGGAAGAACGACUUUAGCAGGAAAUGGCUAGAGUGUGACGGUACCCUAUGAGAAAGCCACGGCUAACUACGUGCCAGCAGCCGCGGUAAUACGUAGGUGGCGAGCGUUAUCCGGAAUUAUUGGGCGUAAAGAGCGCGCAGGUGGUUGAUUAAGUCUGAUGUGAAAGCCCACGGCUUAACCGUGGAGGGUCAUUGGAAACUGGUCGACUUGAGUGCAGAAGAGGGAAGUGGAAUUCCAUGUGUAGCGGUGAAAUGCGUAGAGAUAUGGAGGAACACCAGUGGCGAAGGCGGCUUCCUGGUCUGUAACUGACACUGAGGCGCGAAAGCGUGGGGAGCAAACAGGAUUAGAUACCCUGGUAGUCCACGCCGUAAACGAUGAGUGCUAAGUGU
rnacentral:rRNA from 1 species